CCUCCUUAUACGAUUUAGAACUUAUUUGUUCGUAGUGUCCACACAGAUGAUUGUUAGUUAGUUUUACCCUUUGGGUUUAACUGAUUAAUAUGCUCUUUAAAAAUUUGGAAAAGCUGAUAAUAAAAUUCGUAUGAAUAACAGUGUUAUUUGUACAGAGUUUUCAAAAGUAAAAAAGAAUGAUAGCAGUAUCAUUCAGUGCCAAUUUAAUCAUUUAUGAUUAAUUGGUAUCUACUUUAGUAUUCAAUAUUAACUUCUGGCGAAGUUAAACUGUCACAUAACAAGGACCCGUUUGGGUUGUAUGGUUAAGUGACUAAGCGUACACGGUGGAUGC
rnacentral:misc_RNA from 1 species